rnacentral:rRNA from 1 species
UACAGAGGUCUCAAGCGUUGUUCGGAUUCAUUGGGCGUAAAGGGUGUGUAGGUGGCGCGCUAAGUCGGGUGUGAAAUUUCGGAGCUUAACUCCGAAACUGCAUUCGAUACUGGCGUGCUUGAGGACUGGAGAGGAGACUGGAAUUCAUGGUGUAGCAGUGAAAUGCGCAGAUAUCAGGAGGAACACCGGUGGCGAAGGCGGGUCUCUGGGAAGUAACUGACGCUGAGGAGCGAAAGCGUGGGGAGCGAACAGG